ACUCAAAGGAAUAGACGGGGAGGCGCACAAGCAGUGGAGCGUGUGGUUUAAUUCGAGACGAAGCGAAAAACCUCACCUGGGUUUGACAUGUAGAUGCUAAUCCCGUGAAAGCGGGACUCCUUAGAGGGUUCUACACAGAUGGUGCAUGGCUGUCGUAAGUUCGUGGCGUGAGCUGUCCCCUUAAGUGGGCAAACGAACGAAACCCGCACCGUAUGUUAAAUAUUCAUACGGAACUGCCCCGCAUUUGCGGGGAGGAAGGAGCGGAUGACGUCAAGUCCGCACGCCUCUUACACCCAGGGCUACACACACCCUACAAUGGCGAAAAACAACGAGUUGCAAACAGGAGACUGUAAGCUAACCUCUGAAAUUUCGCCCCAGUUCAGAUUGAGGGCUGCAACUUGCCCUCAUGAAGUCGGAAUUGCUAGUAAUCGCGAAUCAGCAGGUCGCGGUGAAUACGUUCUCGCCUCUUGUACACACCGCCCGU
rnacentral:rRNA from 1 species